UAAGAUAUGAAAAAGGAGGCGUUUUUAUGAGUACAUGAGUUGUUGCCAACUUAUAAUUUCAGCUUGGACCUAUUAUAGGUGUAGGGUAUUGUUGAAUCUUUGUCUGCAUGUUUUGCCCUUUUAUUUUCAAUCUGGGAUUCUUUUGCAUCAGUAUGCUAAUUUUGUCCUUUAAAAUACUUAAAAUGUUACUUUGGCUGAUCUUAUCCGAGUGUCGCUGCCUU
rnacentral:lncRNA from 1 species